rnacentral:rRNA from 1 species
GGAGUCUGGACCGUGUCUCAGUUCCAGUGUGGCUGGUCGUCCUCUCAGACCAGCUACUGAUCGUAGCCUUGGCGAGCCUUUACCUCACCAACUAGCUAAUCAGAUAUCGGCCGCUCCAGGAGCACAAGGUCCGAAGAUCCCCUGCUUUCAUCCUUAGAUCGUAUGCGGUAUUAGCGUAACUUUCGCUACGUUAUCCCCCACUCUUGGGUACGUUCCGAUAUAUUACUCACCCGUUCGCCACUCGCCGCCAGGUUGCCCCGCGCUGCCGUUCGACUUGCAUGUGUAAAGCAUGCCGCCAGCGUUCAAU